rnacentral:rRNA from 1 species
AACGAACGUUGGCGGCGUGGAUGAGGCAUGCAAGUCGAACGCGAAAGCCGCAAGGUGAGUAGAGUGGCGGACGGGCGAGUAACACGUAAUCAAGCUACCUGCGAGACGGGAAUAACCUCGGGAAACCGAGGCUAAGACCCGAUGGUUUUCCUGGACCGCAUGGUCUGGGAAGUAAAUGGGCGGGAUCCUCCGGGACCGCCUGCUCGCAGAGGUGAUUGCGGCCCAUCAGCUAGUUGGAGGGUAAUGGCCUACCAAGGCAACGACGGGUAGCCGGCCUUAGAGGGUGGUCGGCCGCACUGGGACUGAGACACUGCCCAGACUCCUACGGGAGGCAGCAGUGGGGAAUUGUUCGCAAUGGGCGCAAGCCUGACGACGCAACGCCGCGUGGGGAUGAAGGUCUUCGGAUUGUAAACCCCUGUCGAGCGGGACGAAUGGCUCACGAGCUAAUCAUCGUGAGAAUGACGGUACCGCUAAAGGAAGCC